rnacentral:rRNA from 1 species
AUUGAACGCUGGCGGCAUGCUUUACACAUGCAAGUCGAACGGCAGCGCGGGCUUCGGCCUGGCGGCGAGUGGCGAACGGGUGAGUAAUUCAUCGGAACGUGCCCAGUAGUGGGGGAUAGCCCGGCGAAAGCCGGAUUAAUACCGCAUACGACCUGAUGGUGAAAGCGGGGGACCGAAAGGCCUCGCGCUAUUUGAGCGGCCGAUGUCGGAUUAGCUAGUUGGUGGGGUAAAGGCUUACCAAGGCGACGAUCCGUAGCUGGUCUGAGAGGACGACCAGCCACACUGGGACUGAGACACGGCCCAGACUCCUACGGGAGGCAGCAGUGGGGAAUUUUGGACAAUGGGGGCAACCCUGAUCCAGCCAUGCCGCGUGCGGGAAGAAGGCCUUCGGGUUGUAAACCGCUUUUGUUCGGGAAGAAAUCCUCUGGGCUAAUACCCCGGGGGGAUGACGGUACCGGAAGAAUAAGCACCGGCUAACUACGUG